rnacentral:rRNA from 1 species
UGGGGAAUAUUGGACAAUGGGGGCAACCCUGAUCCAGCCAUGCCGCGUGAGUGAUGAAGGCCUUCGGGUUGUAAAGCUCUUUUGGCGGGGACGAUGAUGACGGUACCCGCAGAAUAAGCCCCGGCUAACUUCGUGCCAGCAGCCGCGGUAAGACGAAGGGGGCUAGCGUUGUUCGGAAUUACUGGGCGUAAAGCGAGUGUAGGCGGUUGCCGUAGUCAGGUGUGAAAGCCUUGAGCUCAACUCAAGAAAUGCACUUGAUACUGGGUGACUAGAGGACCGGAGAGGAUAGUGGAAUUCCCAGUGUAGUGGUGAAAUACGUAGAGAUUGGGAAGAACACCAGUGGCGAAGGCGGCUAUCUGGACGGUUACUGACGCUAAGACUCGAAAGCGUGGGGAGCAAAACAGGAUUAGAUACCCUGGUAGUCCACGCCCGUAAAACGAUGGUA